rnacentral:rRNA from 1 species
CAGUCGCCGCGGUAAAACGUAGGUGGCAAGCGUUGUCCGGAAUUAUUGGGCGUAAAGGGCUCGCAGGCGGUUUCUUAAGUCUGAUGUGAGAGCCCCCGGCUCAACCGGGGAGGGUCAUUGGAAACUGGGAAACUUGAGUGCAGAAGAGGAGAGCGGAAUUCCAUGUGUAGCGGUGAAAUGCGUAGAUAUAUGGAGGAACACCAGCGGCGAAGGCGGCUCUCUGGUCUGUAACUGACACUGAGGCGCGAAAGCGUGGGGAGCAAACAGGAUUAGAUACCCCCGUAGUCCCUGUCUCUUAUAC